GUACUAAAUUUAAAAGUACAGUUGGUGUUCAGUGCUAUUCAUGUGCAAGAGUUAAUACAGCCGUGCUAUUGCACAUUGGAAUGGUACUUACCACCAUGUACACAUGCUACAUAUAAUAUC
rnacentral:precursor_RNA from 10 species